rnacentral:rRNA from 1 species
UGGGGAAUAUUGCACAAUGGGCGAAAGCCUGAUGCAGCAACGCCGCGUGAGCGAUGAAGGCCUUUGGGUCGUAAAGCUCUGUCCUUGGGGAAGAAAAAAAUGACGGUACCCAUGGAGGAAGCCCCGGCUAACUACGUGCCAGCAGCCGCGGUAAUACGUAGGGGGCAAGCGUUAUCCGGAAUUAUUGGGCGUAAAGAGUGCGUAGGUGGUUCUUUAAGCGCAGGGUUUAAGGCAAUGGCUCAACCAUUGUUCGCCCUGUGAACUGGAGGACUUGAGUGCAGGAGAGGAAAGCGGAAUUCCUAGUGUAGCGGUGAAAUGCGUAGAUAUUAGGAGGAACACCAGUGGCGAAGGCGGCUUUCUGGACUGUAACUGACACUGAGGUACGAAAGCGUGGGGAGCAAACA